GCAAGUCGAACGAGUUCUGAUUAUUGAAAGGUGCUUGCAUCUUGAUUUAAUUUUGAACGAGUGGCGGACGGGUGAGUAACACGUGGGUAACCUGCCCUUAAGUGGGGGAUAACAUUUGGAAACAGAUGCUAAUACCGCAUAAAUCCAAGAACCGCAUGGUUCUUGGCUGAAAGAUGGCGUAAGCUAUCGCUUUUGGAUGGACCCGCGGCGUAUUAGCUAGUUGGUGAGGUAACGGCUCACCAAGGCAAUGAUACGUAGCCGAACUGAGAGGUUGAUCGGCCACAUUGGGACUGAGACACGGCCCAAACUCCUACGGGAGGCAGCAGUAGGGAAUCUUCCACAAUGGACGCAAGUCUGAUGGAGCAACGCCGCGUGAGUGAAGAAGGCUUUCGGGUCGUAAAACUCUGUUGUUGGAGAAGAAUGGUCGGCAGAGUAACUGUUGUCGGCGUGACGGUAUCCAACCAGAAAGCCACGGCUAACUACGUGCCAGCAGCCGCGGUAAUACGUAGGUGGCAAGCGUUAUCCGGAUUUAUUGGGCGUAAAGCGAGCGCAGGCGGUUUUUUAAGUCUGAUGUGAAAGCCCUCGGCUUAACCGAGGAAGUGCAUCGGAAACUGGRAAACUUGAGUGCAGAAGAGGACAGUGGAACUCCAUGUGUAGCGGUGAAAUGCGUAGAUAUAUGGAAGAACACCAGUGGCGAAGGCGGCUGUCUGGUCUGUAACUGACGCUGAGGCUCGAAAGCAUGGGUAGCGAACAGGAUUAGAUACCCUGGUAGUCCAUGCCGUAAACGAUGAAUGCUAGGUGUUGGAGGGUUUCCGCCCUUCAGUGCCGCAGCUAACGCAUUAAGCAUUCCGCCUGGGGAGUACGACCGCAAGGUUGAAACUCAAAGGAAUUGACGGGGGCCCGCACAAGCGGUGGAGCAUGUGGUUUAAUUCGAAGCAACGCGAAGAACCUUACCAGGUCUUGACAUCUUUUGAUCACCUGAGAGAUCAGGUUUCCCCUUCGGGGGCAAAAUGACAGGUGGUGCAUGGUUGUCGUCAGCUCGUGUCGUGAGAUGUUGGGUUAAGUCCCGCAACGAGCGCAACCCUUAUGACUAGUUGCCAGCAUUUAGUUGGGCACUCUAGUAAGACUGCCGGUGACAAACCGGAGGAAGGUGGGGAUGACGUCAAAUCAUCAUGCCCCUUAUGACCUGGGCUACACACGUGCUACAAUGGAUGGUACAACGAGUUGCGAGACCGCGAGGUCAAGCUAAUCUCUUAAAGCCAUUCUCAGUUCGGACUGUAGGCUGCAACUCGCCUACACGAAGUCGGAAUCGCUAGUAAUCGCGGAUCAGCACGCCGCGGUGAAUACGUUCCCGGGCCUUGUACACACCGCCCGUCACACCAUGAGAGUUUGUAACACCCGAAGCCGGUGGCGUAACCCUUUUAGGGAGCGAGCCGUCUA
rnacentral:rRNA from 1 species